CCUACGGGAGGCAGCAGUAGGGAAUCUUCCGCAAUGGGCGAAAGCCUGACGGAGCAACGCUGCGUGAGUGAUGAAGGUCUUCGGAUCGUAAAACUCUGUUAUUAGGGAAGAACAAAUGUGUAAGUAACUAUGCACGUCUUGACGGUACCUAAUCAGAAAGCCACGGCUAACUACGUGCCAGCAGCCGCGGUAAUACGUAGGUGGCAAGCGUUAUCCGGAAUUAUUGGGCGUAAAGCGCGCGUAGGCGGUUUUUUAAGUCUGAUGUGAAAGCCCACGGCUCAACCGUGGAGGGUCAUUGGAAACUGGAAAACUUGAGUGCAGAAGAGGAAAGUGGAAUUCCAUGUGUAGCGGUGAAAUGCGCAGAGAUAUGGAGGAACACCAGUGGCGAAAGCGACUUUCUGGUCUGUAACUGACGCUGAUGUGCGAAAGCGUGGGGAUCAAACAGGAUUAGAUACCCUGGUAAUCCACGCCGUAAACGAUGAGUGCUAAGUGGUAGGGGGGUUUCCGCCCCUUAGUGCUGCAGCUAACGCAUUAAGCACUCCGCCUGGGGAGUACGACCGCAAGGUUGAAACUCAAAGGAAUUGACGGGG
rnacentral:rRNA from 1 species